AGUUCUCAGUUGUUGUGCCGUUAUAGCGAACGUAUGCGGAAAGUCUGUAACGUUUGUCGGAAAAUUCUAAGUGAAAAUUGUGUGCGUUGCCUGCAUUUACAACACAAGCAAAAGAAUCCGAAUCUGAAUCUGAAUCUCAGUAGAAUGUGUAAAUGUAAAAAAAGUGGUGGAAAUAUGCUUAACGUACCAAAAUCACAAAUCAUUUGAGGAAAAAGAUUUGCAACAGUAGAAGGUGUCAUAAAUCAAGCGAUUAUCUUGCUAAAUCGUCUAUAAGUUUAAAGUGUUUCAUGUAAAACGAGUUAAAUCAAUUCCCAAAACAAACAAAAAAUUAUAUUAACAAGGAACAACUACAACACAAAAACCAAUAGCUGAAGCCCCCGGAAAGCUCAGCCAAGUGUCGCAGCUCACAAUCAACAAAAACCAAACCCAGACAACACCAAUCAACAAUCGACCGACCGCAGACCGAAAUCAUUGCGAAACUAAA